AUUGAACGCUGGCGGAAUGCUUUACACAUGCAAGUCGAACGGUAGAGGGGGCAACCCCUCGAGUGUGGCGAACGGGUGAGUAAUAUAUCGGAACGUGCCCAGUCGUGGGGGAUAACGUAGCGAAAGUUACGCUAAUACCGCAUACGAUCUAAGGAUGAAAGCGGGGGAUCGCAGGACCUCGCGCGAUUGGAGCGGCCGAUAUCAGAUUAGGUAGUUGGUCGGGUAAAGGCUCACCAAGCCAACGAUCUGUAGCUGAUCUGAGAGGACGACCAGCCACACUGGAACUGAGACACGGUCCAGACUCCUACGGGAGGCAGCAGUGGGGAAUUUUGGACAAUGGACGCAAGUCUGAUCCAGCCAUUCCGCGUGCAGGAUGAAGGCCCUCGGGUUGUAAACUGCUUUUGUACGGAACGAAAAGGUCUCUCUUAAUACGGGGGACUCAUGACGGUACCGUAAGAAUAAGCACCGGCUAACUACGUGCCAGCCGCCGCCGUAA
rnacentral:rRNA from 1 species